rnacentral:rRNA from 1 species
CACCGGCGGCUCGAGUGGUAACCGUUAUUAUUGGGUCUAAAGGGUCUGUAGCCGGCCGGAUAAGUCUCUUGAGAAAUCUGGCAGCUUAACUGUCAGGCUUUCAGGAGAUACUGUCUGGCUCGAGGCCGGGAGAGGUGAGAGGUACUUCAGGGGUAGGGGUGAAAUCUUGUAAUCCUUGAAGGACCACCAGUGGCGAAGGCGUCUCACCAGAACGGACCUGACGGCAAGGGACGAAAGCUAGGGGCACGAACUGGAUUAGAUACCCUGGUAGUCCCUGAG